rnacentral:rRNA from 62 species
GUGGGUAGUUUGACUGGGGCGGUCUCCUCCUAAAGAGUAACGGAGGAGCACGAAGGUUGGCUAAUCCUGGUCGGACAUCAGGAGGUUAGUGCAAUGGCAUAAGCCAGCUUGACUGCGAGCGUGACGGCGCGAGCAGGUGCGAAAGCAGGUCAUAGUGAUCCGGUGGUUCUGAAUGGAAGGGCCAUCGCUCAACGGAUAAAAGGUACUCCGGGGAUAACAGGCUGAUACCGCCCAAGAGUUCAUAUCGACGGCGGUGUUUGGCACCUCGAUGUCGGCUCAUCACAUCCUGGGGCUGAAGUAGGUCCCAAGGGUAUGGCUGUUCGCCAUUUAAAGUGGUACGCGAGCUGGGUUUAGAACGUCGUGAGACAGUUCGGUCCCUAUCUGCCGUGGGCGCUGGAGAACUGAGGGGGGCUGCUCCUAGUACGAGAGGACCGGAGUGGACGCAUCACUGGUGUUCGGGUUGUCAUGCCAAUGGCACUGCCCGGUAGCUAAAUGCGGAAGAGAUAAGUGCUGAAAGCAUCUAAGCACGAAACUUGCCCCGAGAUGAGUUCUCCCUGAGACUUAGAGUCUCCUGAAGGAACGUUGAAGACGACGACGUUGAUAGGCCGGGUGUGUAAGCGCAGCGAUGCGUUGAGCUAACCGGUACUAAUGAACCGUGAGGCUUAACCUUACAACGCCGAAG